UACGUAGGGGGCGAGCGUUGUCCGGAUUUAUUGGGCGUAAAGAGCGUGUAGGCGGUUCGGUAAGUCUGUCGUGAAAUCCUGAGGCUCAGCCUCGGACGUGCGAUGGAUACUGCCGGGCUAGAGGAUGGUAGAGGCGAGUGGAAUUCCCGGUGUAGCGGUGAAAUGCGCAGAUAUCGGGAGGAACACCAGUAGCGAAGGCGGCUCGCUGGGCCAUUCCUGACGCUGAGACGCGAAAGCUAGGGGAGCGAACAGG
rnacentral:rRNA from 1 species